rfam:Chryseobacterium molle strain DSM 18016 genome assembly, contig: Ga0131196_101
UACUUAUUAAGAAAGACCGAGGGAACUGACCCAGUGAAGUCUUGACAACCUGCCGCUUGGUAAGGUGUCACAUUCAGCCUUUGAAGAAAGGAAAGAUAAGUG